rnacentral:rRNA from 1 species
UACGGAGGGGGCUAGCGUUGUUCGGAAUUACUGGGCGUAAAGAGCGCGCAGGCGGUUGGAUAAGUCGAAUGUGAAAGCCCCCGGCUCAACUGGGGAGGGUCACGCGAUACUGAUCGACUGGAAGGCAGGAGAGGGUAGUGGAAUUCCCGGUGUAGUGGUGAAAUGCGUAGAUAUCGGGAGGAACACCAGUGGCGAAGGCGACUACCUGGCCUGUUCUUGACGCUGAGGCGCGAAAGCUAGGGGAGCAAACGGGG